rnacentral:rRNA from 1 species
ACGAACGCUGGCGGCGUGCCUAAUACAUGCAAGUCGAACGAGAGCGACCGGUGCUUGCACUGGUCAAUCUAGUGGCGAACGGGUGAGUAACACGUGGGUAACCUGCCCAUCAGAGGGGGAUAACAUCCGGAAACGGAUGCUAAAACCGCAUAGGUCUUCGAACCGCAUGGUUUGAAGAGGAAAAGAGGCGCAAGCUUCUGCUGAUGGAUGGACCCGCGGUGCAUUAGCUAGUUGGUGAGGUAACGGCUCACCAAGGCCGUGAUGCAUAGCCGACCUGAGAGGGUGAUCGGCCACAUUGGGACUGAGACACGGCCCAAACGACUACGGGAGGCAGCAGUCGGGAAUCUUCCGCAAUGGACGCAAGUCUGACGGAGCAACGCCGCGUGAGUGAAGAAGGUUUUCGGAUCGUAAAACUCUGUUGUUAGAGAAGAACAAGUGCUAGAGUAACUGUUAGCGCCUUGACGGUAUCUAACAAGAAAGCCACGGCUAACUACGUG